UCUGCAGUCUGAAUACACAUCGGCUCAAUCAACAUCAGACCUUAGGAGGCAUCAGUGGGGAAUUGUUCAUUUGGAUGACCGAUGAUCAGGACUGCACUCUUCUGUGGUUCUCCUCCUCAAACGGGUCUCUGCUUAAAGUUGGAUUGUGCAUGAAGAUCAACACACUGUUCCUGUCCAAUGAACGUGCAGGGUCUGUUGGACUGAAGGCAAGCAGCAAUUUGGGAUGGUGAUCACACGGGGAAACACAGCUGCCACUUCAUCAGCUGAAAGAGGAAAUCACCGGUAUAAUUUUUGGAGAAACAACAAGAAUAAAUUCUUAAUAUAGGCAGAGCUAAACAAGUGGGGGAAAAACAGAACUGCUGUGAAAAAGGGAAAAAGAAAAGAAUACUCCACCUGGUUGGUCUACCUGGUGUCCCUGCUCACCCACCUCUCUGAGCCCACACAGUAUUUCCAACCCAACAAGAACAGACGGUGUGGAGAGCGAUUUAUUGGAUUGGAUCCCAUCCAGCACUGACUUAUACGCUCAACCUAUAUGUCACAGAUGGAUCUGAACAUCCACAGAGACCUGGAGGGUAGAGGAGCCACUGGAAUCUUGUUUUAGCCUUAGAAGCUAUAACAGCAGCCUUUCUGUUCAAAUACUCAGACAGCUUCGAUCUCCAGCAAUGCAGUCACGUUCAGAGCUGUUACCUGCUGCUCAAACUCUGGUGAAAGAAGAGCAACCUGCAGACUGCGCCUCCAGUCUCCACAGCCCUGCUUCAUUACACCGCACAGUGGGGGAGCUCAGUGCAGUAAUCCCAGCUGGAGAAGCCGCCAUGCUCUCAUUACCAAAACGGAUGCCACUCCUAAGACCAACAUGCACAUAGAUGAAGGGUUGUAGCUGCAUAUAGAUCAUAUAAAGAAUUAUAUUCUCCACAGGACAUGUUAAUGCUGAUGCUGAUUUAUCCUCUGCUGUGAAUUGGAGGCAUGAUCUGCCUUUUUUGUUGAUGUUUAUGUUAUAUGCUGCGUAAUAUGAAAUGUGAUCGAACGCUGUGAGGUUUAGCGCUGUUUGCUGAGUCUGCAUUGAUAUACAGUUCUAAAUAGAAGUUUAUGGAUGCCAUUUUAAUCUGAUCAGGUUUGUAUUUUUAAUGAAACAUUUAAAUGUUUUUUUGUUUUUCUGAGAAG